ACUAGCAAUAGUUGAUGGCGAGUGGCGGACGGGUGAGUAGAGUAUCGGAAUAAACGAUUAUGUUUGGGAUAGCUAAUCGAAAGAUUGGAUAAUACCGGAUACACUCUGAGGAGGAAAGCUGGGGAUUAGGCGACUAACCUAGCGCAUAAUGAUUAGCCGAUAACCGAUUAGUUAGUUGGUGAGGUAAAGGCUUACCAAGGCGAUGAUUGGUAGCUGUUCUGAGAGGAAGGGCAGCCACACUGGGACUGAGACACGGCCCAGACUCC
rnacentral:rRNA from 1 species